UUACGGCCAAAUCACUUGGAAACACCGGUUCUCGUACGAUCACCGAAGUUAAGCAACCUCGAGCCUGGUCAGUAGCUAGAUCGGUGUCCGCAAG